CAUCUCAAGUCAAACCACGUUAAUCCGCUGCUCGAAUUCCAAUUAAACAGCCAUGGUCUUAUUGAUCCCGCAUGAAUUGCACCAGUUCUUAUUGCACCCAAAAUUCUCUAAAGUGAUAUUUGGGUUCCAAAUUCAUUGUAAUUUUGAUCGUUCUUGCAUUGUAAUUACUGGUUGCAAGAUUCCCUUUUUUUAAAUGAACUGAGACGGG
rnacentral:lncRNA from 1 species